AAUAGUCUAACGACUGAACCAGCAAUUAGAAGAAUGUUACGUAAAAUAUAACGAUUGUUAAAAUUCUAGAUAAAAUAAUGAUUAAUGACAAUGUUUAUCUAUAAGUCUUGACUAAUCCUCGUGCCAGCAGUCGCGGCAAUACGAGUAAGUCUAGUGUUAUUCAUCUUUAUUAGGUUUAAAGGGUACCUAGAUGGUAUAUAAAAUUUAGAUAAAUACAAAUAUACUUGAGUUUUAUAUGGGAGGGAGAUAUAAGUAUUAUUAGUGUAGAGAUGAAAUCCAUUGAUAUUAAUAAGACUGAUAAAGGUGAAGACAAGCCUCUAUGUAAAAACUGACGUUAAGGGACGAAGGCUCGGGUCGUGAAAAGGAUUAGAUACCCUUGUAGUCCGGGCAGAAAAUGAUGAGUGUCAUAGGUCAUUAAUUUAGUGGUCUAUAAAUGAAAGUGUAAGCACUCCACCUCAUGAGUAUAGCGGCAACGCCGGAAUUGAAAUCAUUAGACCGUUUCUGAAACCAGUAGUGAAGUAUGAUAUUUAAUUCGAUGAUCCACGAAAAAUCUUACCAAAAUUUGAAUUACUUAUAUUUAGUUUUUUUAUAAAUAACUUUAGUAAGUAUAUUCUGUUCAAAGUUAAUUUUGAGCAAACAGGUGUUGCACGGCUGUCUUUAACCAAUGUUCUGAGACUUUCUUUAAAUUGGUGAAAUCCCUUUCUCUAAUUAAUAUUAGGGACUUUUUAUAAAAGGGGUUAAGGCAAGUCAUCAUGACCCUUAUUUUAUUUU
rnacentral:rRNA from 2 species